rnacentral:rRNA from 1 species
GACGAACGCUGGCGGCGUGCUUAACACAUGCAAGUCGAACGGAAAGGCCCUGGUUUUGUGGGGUGCUCGAGUGGCGAACGGGUGAGUAACACGUGAGUAACCUGCCCUUGACUUUGGGAUAACUUCAGGAAACUGGGGCUAAUACCGGAUAGGAACUCCUGCUGCAUGGUGGGGGUUGGAGAGUUUCGGCGGUUGGGGAUGGACUCGGGGCUUAUCAACUUGUGGGUGGGGUAGGGGCUUACCAAGGCUUUGACGGGUCGCCGGCCUGAGGGGGUGACCGGCAACAUUGGGACUGAGAUACGGCCAAGACUCCUACGGGAGGAAGCAGUGGGGAAUAUUGAACAAUGGGCGGAAGCCUGAUGAAGCAACGCCGCGUGCGGGAUGACGGCCUUCGGGCUGUAAACCGUUUUCGCCUGUGACGAAGCGUGAGUGACGGUAAUGGGUAAAGAAGCACCGGCUAACUACGUG